UAUAUAUAUAUAUAUAUAUAUAUAUGUAUGUGUAUAUCUACGUGUAUAUGGAUAUAGAUGAGUUUUACACAUCUUAACACUACAGCUACUUCUAUCAUAAGAGUAAGUAAAACAACUACAUAUACACAAUAAGUUUGUAUACAAUACAUAUACGUAAAGCGAUCUAACCGAAUUCCUUCGAAAUUUAGAAGAUGUACCCAAACUAAACACUUCAUUUGGUACAAAACAAAAACAGGAAUCCACACAAUGAGCGUGUGUGUUUGCGUUUGUGAAACAAACAAAAAAAAACAGCAGAAUACACAACCAUCCACACGACAUAAUCAAAGGUCACAACUAAUUUGUUUGCUAAAUAAUUCAUAUUAAAAAUGUCGUUACCUCUUCUCUUCCUUUCCCCUCCGCCUAAGUAUCUCAGACCAGUGAGAGAAACCAAAUUCAAUGCUUUUCACGUUAAGAAAUGCUUAGCUAUAAUUUUUACAUCAACACACUCUUUAAAGGAAAUUCCUGUUUUUAACUCUUCAGACGAUGUUCGAUUGAACUCUCGUACCAACUAGGCAGACUACUUUUUAAUUUAAUCAAAUAACAUUUGUGGUCGACUGCCAUCGUCUACAUACAUUCUAAAGCCUUCUCAGACAAUGUAAAUAAAUAAACGUGAAAGUUAAAAAAAUGGUUUGACCAAAUUGGCAGAAUUUUGCAUCUUCUCAAUUACAGUCGGACUUUGAUUUUCCGGAAGCUCGGGACAGAAGGCUUUAUGUAGAAUCGAUUUUCCCGCAAAAUGGAGUAGAAACUUUCUACACAUAUUUGCAAAAACAUUUGUUUUGGUCUGGAGUGCCAGAGCAGCCGGAGCGCAUAUUGGCCAAGCAUUUUUAUUGGCUUUAAAAAUGACGAAUAAAACAUUUGUUUAAGAAUUUGGCCCAGCACGUUUUCCAAUAACUAACGCCUUCCGCUUGAGAGUUCCAGCAGCAUUAGCACACAAUAAUGCAGUUGGUCUCUCCAUUGACAUCUUAUGUCCAUCUUUGACUGCCACAUCAUGGCACAACAAAUUGCUUUAUUCCAAACACUUCCAAAAUAGGACAACAUCAUCUCCAUUAUAAAUUUGUGUCAUUGAUUAGUUGUUGUUGUAGCAGUUCUCAAACUAGGUUUUCCCUUGAAGUAAAUUAAUUCAAUUUUCCACAAACAAAACAAUUUGGUAGCUACAAAGUCAACAACCAACCGUUAGAAUAUUCACAUUUCAAACUUCUUCAUCUUCAAUUUCCCAUCUUCCCUCAAAUAGUUCCACACGACCAUUCUUAAAUUCCUGAAUCCACUUUUGGUUCUUUGGCACUUUCCAAGGCUUUUAGGUUUUGAUACCUAAAAACUUCUGCACAAAACAAGGAAAUUCCCUUCUUUGAUUUUUUUUUUCUUCUUUUUGCUUGGUCAGUAUUAUAUUGUGGCAAAGUGUGCAUACUCACAGAUAAUCGAAGCAACGAAAAAAAUAAAUCUUUUCUAUCCCGUAUAAUGGAUAUUGCCGGGUAAUCGAGGUCCGACUGUACAAUACUCUAGGAAUGGUUCUCGCCCUUACGCCCUCUCCUGUUGACAAAUCAGGCACACGAAAGACUUUCAAUAAAAAUUGUACGCUAACACACAUGUUAUCGAGCUGUAGGCCAUAUUGUUUCUUGCUUCUAUUUAAAAUAGAAUAAGCAAACAACUUGUUUCAUAAAAGUUAAACAGCGUCGUUUUGAAUUGUAUAAAAAAAGACCGAGCGCAACGUAAAUGUCAAGACGUGAGAUUUUCUUAGUAUUUAAUCAAAAUCGUCCAUUAACGACUGCCCCACCUUCUGUUAAAAAUUUGUGUUUGUUUACAACAGCUGUGUGUGUUUACGAUAGUCGUGGGCACACUACUUCAAAACCCAUAGGAUUAUGUUCUUGUGCACAUAAUGUGUAUUUUUCCACAGCUAUUUUGCAACAAACAAAAACAAUAGUACAUAAUGUAGGGUACAUAAGCAUUUCAUUUUAAUAUUGCUUAGAAAUUUUGGCACAGCGAUAUGGCAACUUCAAUAGCUGAAAUUUUUAAUUUGUUCUGUUUAAAAAGGAAAAAUUUAGAAAUAUCGAGAGAAGUGCUUGAAACUCUGAUGGGGCAUAAAUUUUGGUAUCCUAACAAGCUGGACCUUGCACCGUUCCUUAAAGUGACAUUAAUUCUGAUGGUUGUUUGAACGGUAAAACAUAGGUUGGGGAGAGGAACAACAAUAAGUCAAGGCUACUGCCAAAUAGCGCUGCCGCUUCGGCUGGACUCCAUUAAUAAAUGGACAUCUCAGAGUCACAUUUAAUGCAAGUGUUGGAGGUUAUAAUUCUACCUUAUGUAAUUUAGGCCACUAGAGGACAAUCACUUGGACAGUUGAGGUAAAGGAAUGAAAACAGGGUACUGUUUAUGUGGGCUAGCUUUUGCAUUGAGAAGUCUACGGGCUGUAGAAGUCGAUGUCGGAGAUCGGUUUCUAUGAGAGUUACGCAUGACGGCUAAAAAGAUAAAGUGAAAAAAAUAUUCCGUUAUUUUGCGCAUAAUGCACCACGUUCUGCAGCGAAAGUAGUGGCGAAUAUGUAAUUAUCAAAUGUACGUUAUGUCCAGGUGCGGUCCACAAAAACCCAGUGUAAUAUUAAAAUUUUAGUACUUUUGGCGUUUAGCACAUGCAUACGCCGCACGUUAACCUUAAAAAGAAAUAUGGAUAUUGUACAAUUGUUUUAAACAUUUCUGAUUUGGUGAUUAUGAUGACAUCUAAACUCUUUCGGCUGUUGCUGCUCCGCAAAAAGAAAGAUUUCAUCAUAAUUAAAAUUUUGAAAUUUUCAUAUCCAUUAUAAUUAUGUUAUACAUUCGAAACAAUGAUAUGAAAUCGCGGAAUAAGAGCAUUCUCGUCGCUUAUGACAUUUUCUACUUCUUUUUGUUCGUUUUAUACAAAUGUAUGAAGUCGUUGACGUUUACAACUUUUUGACAGUCGAAAACAUAGAAAGUCGUCAUACGAACCAUCUCUGAUCUGAGUACUAUGCAUUUAUGGCUUGUCAGAACAUUUUCAUACACAUAUUGUUUCUUACAAGUACUUGUCGGGGAUCACAAACAUGUAGCAAAUGAAUCUCAAAGUUUGCAUUCAGUUGCAUUCAAUGUUUCCGACGUUGUUGUAGCAGUGUUGUAUAUACGUAUACAGUGGUAUUUCCGUUAAACCAUAGACGUGGUUUUAAUUUUUCAUACGCAAGCACAGCCGAGUUAGAGUACAAAACGGCAAGUAGAGUUUGGGCCUUUCUUCCGUCUGGAGAAGGAGGAUGUUGGAAGUCUAUCGGAGAACUAUUCAAAACAGAUUUGCAGAUGAAUUUUGUGAAACCACAAACUAAAAUAGCGGAAUUUGUUAACAACCGCACCCAGCGGCGCAUUUAACCCAAAGGUAUCCUUUGGAGAAUGGAUGAAGAAAUCACAUAAGAAUUAGUUAUAGACAUUUCGGAUGUGGAACACAAAUUGAGUAACUACAAUUGUCUUCUUCUUUAUUUCUGACAUUUUCGAUGAAAUGCCAUUGUUUUAAAUAUACAAAUAACACGAGACACUUAAUCGAUUCGUUAUUUUUGUCUAGUUGGGUCAAUCCGCUGAUUGUGUCCAAACCGUAGUCUGCUGCUAAUGGUGUUCCUUGGCAGGAAGGUGUUCUUAAAACAUGGUACUUACCAAUUGUAUGGGCACAUACGUAUUUCCAAAGCUUGGCAAUAAACCUUGGGAGAAAAAUUGUGCAAGUCCUUUGCCUAAUUAUCUAAUCUCUUUGCCAGUUGCAACUUGCAUCCUGCAAUUCAAAGCCAUGUACGCUACAUGCACUACAAUUUGUAUAUGGAAUUGUAUUAAAAAGAUUAUGUAUACAUGCAUUAAAAUGAACAAUACAUCAAAAUCGUCGAUGCAAUUAGAAGAAUAUAAAAAAACCUUCCAAAUUUAGUUCACAAAUUGUCUACAUUAAACGUCUUCAACUCUUA
rnacentral:sRNA from 1 species